UUUACAUAAAAUUCGAUGUAUUUAUUUAAGUGUAUUUUUUUUUAGGCGUCCCAGUGGUUGGGGACCCCGCUUUAGAACACACAGAAAGUAUGUGUUCAUGUUUCCCAUCAGGAUUGUAGCUGAUGGGCAAAAUUCCAAAAAAGGUGCAGUUUUCCUUUAAGUGUUAAUAGUGUUUAAGGCAGAUCGACAGGUUGUAUUUUGUAUUUGUACUUGUAUUUCUAGCUGAAGAUGAAGUUUUCAGCUAGAACACAUUUUGUUAUUUGGAAAACAAAUCUGAUGAGUUGAACUGUGACUUGUUUUUUUUUGUUGUUUUUUUUAAACACAGUCAUUGAAACUUUUAAGUUUCAUUUUCAGGAAAAUUGUCGGCUACUUCCUCAUUCUUGACUGUUUGUCUUGCAUGGUGACGCUGUUUUGCCCUUUGUAAUGCUGGCCUCCUCCCACUUUUCAAACAUAUUCCAGAGUGGUGAGACGUUGGGAGAAGCAGACAGAGAAGAUGCCGCAGACUGUGCGCGUAACCUUGGAAUUUGCACUGCAUCGUGCCAUUAUGGGGGUUUUAUGUGCCGGUUUUUUGAUCUGCCUCAUAUUUGCUUUUAUUAUUUGCUUAAUUGUUAAGGUUUUCCAGCUGGAAUUACGCUAUUGGAUGAACUGUAAUCAUUAACCCUCAUUACCACCACUUCUGGGCAUCGUCAGUGUUUCUCGUUGCAAUGCAAACUCUUUUUCCUCACAAGGAUUUUUUCAAGUACAUUUACUAUACACGACCAUGACUUCCCAUCCAAGGUUACCCCAGAAACCAGCCCCCCAAAGCGCCUGCCAACGUGAGCAGCAGCACGGACCUGUCUUUUAUCAGGAGCAUCCCAUCUAUGCUCAUGAUGGCUCAUAUAAUGCUGACACCUUCUGAUCUGGGCGGAGCUACUGGACCCCUGCAGCUGUUCCUAAUUAGCGUUCUUCUUAAUCGCUUCAGCCGCAGCCAGCCAGCGCUGGAUUAUUGCUUUGUGGUUGUGCCUUCAGACCUUGUGCUCUACUGUUGCUACCACCUACCUUUGUCCUCCGUCUACUGUAGCCUGCCACGCCACUCCAACCGAUCCGGCCGUCCUGCAGCCCAGUAGUCCGUCCAGCUCACGUGGUAGUUCCAUUAGUCCUUUGAACUGUUCCCGUGUCUGCAUCCUGGGACUCACACACACCGCUCCCCAGAGACAAUUUGCAAUUAUGAUAUUACAAUAAUAAUAAUACCCUGGACUGGUCGCCAGUCAGAGGGCUCAGUUCACUUUCUGUCUUUCUGUAGAUUCACAGCCAAGCUGCUACCAUUAACAGGUCCUAUCUCCUUCACCAACCCUCUCCCGGUGCCACUGAAGAACUUUGCUUUCACCAUUGAGGGGGCCAUGUGUCUCCCAAGGGAGUCCGGAUGAACGGUGAAAUAUGUCCACGCCAGAAGGUGUGUGUCAAGCUCACCUUUACACCUGCACGGACCGGUGUGAGAAAGCUCCUGAUGGACUGUGACUCGGAUAGGCUCAACGACGUGAAGGGAGUCACGACUGUGUUUGUGGACAUGAGUCUCCUCUUGUACUGAGCUGAGGCACAAAACAUGUUCUUCAGUACGACUGAUCACAUUGUUUACUUCACCAUUAAACAUGUUUUAGCUCCUAAUGGCCAAAAAUAUCUAGAAAAUAAAGGUAUUGUGCUUUUCAUUGCUAUUCCAUUUGAAGACAUCUACAUUUGUAUGUAUUACGGCAUUUAAAUGUAACAUAUAAAUGACCACUCCCCCAAUAUGUUUUGCUGAACUGAUUUAAUACUAAAACAUGUAGACUAUUACACAAUGAAAUAAAUGACUGAAAUACAGCUUUACUAUGAAAACCUCAGAUUUUUUUUCAAAUGUGGCCCUAAUACUCAGUCAUUAAAUAAUUCCAUAAUUUAAUUUAGAAAUGAAGUAUUUCUUUGUUCCUGCAAAUAAAAUGAAUUCUU